CCCUUUAGAGAUAGAGGGGUGCUCGAAAGAGAGCCGUAACACAGGUGCUGCAUGGCUGUCGUCAGCUCGUGUCGUGAGAUGUUGGGUUAAGUCCCGCAACGAGCGCAACCCUUGUCAUUAGUUGCUACAUUCAGUUGGGCACUCUAAUGAGACUGCCGGUGACAAGCCGGAGGAAGGUGGGGAUGACGUCAAGUCCUCAUGGCCCUUAUAGGUGGGGCUACACACGUCAUACAAUGGCUGGUACAAAGGGUUGCCAACCCGCGAGGGGGAGCUAAUCCCACAAAGCCAGUCGUAGUCCGGAUCGUAGUUUGCAACUCGACUACGUGAAGUCGGAAUCGCUAGUAAUCGUGGAUCAGAAUGUCACGGUGAAUACGUUCCCGGGUCUUGUACACACCGCUCGUCACACCAUGGGAGCGGGUUCUGCCAGAAGUAGUUAGCUUAACCGCAAGGAGGGCGAUUACCACGGCAGGGUUCGUGACUGGGGUGAAGUCGUAACAAGGUA
rnacentral:rRNA from 1 species